rnacentral:rRNA from 1 species
UGCAAGUCGAGCGGGCGAGGUUGCUUCGGUAACUGAGCUAGCGGCGGACGGGUGAGUAAUGCUUAGGAAUCUGCCUAUUAGUGGGGGACAACAUUCCGAAAGGAAUGCUAAUACCGUAUACGCCCUACGGGGGAAAGCAGGGGAUCUUCGGACCUGGCGCUAAUAGAUGAGCCUAAGUCAGAUUAGCUAGUUGGUGGGGUAAAGGCCUACCAAGGCGACGAUCUGUAGCGGGUCUGAGAGGAUGAUCCGCCACACUGGGACUGAGACACGGCCCAGACUCCUACGGGAGGCAGCAGUGGGGAAUAUUGGACAAUGGGCGCAAGCCUGAUCCAGCCAUUCCGCGUGAGUGAAGAAGGCCUUCGGGUUGUAAAGCUCUUUCGCAAGGGAAGAAAACUUACCAUCGAAUAAAUGGUGAGGCUGACGGUACCUUGAUAAGAAGCACCGGCUAACUACGUGCCAGCAGCCGCGGUAAUACGUAGGGUGCGAGCGUUAAUCGGAAUUACUGGGCGUAAAGCGUGCGCAGGCGGUUAGGCAAGUCAGAUGUGAAAUCCCCGAGCUCAACUUGGGAACUGCGUUUGAAACUGCCAGACUAGAAUAUGUCAGAGGGGGGUAGAAUUCCACGUGUAGCAGUGAAAUGCGUAGAUAUAGGAAGGAACACCAGUGGCGAA